rnacentral:rRNA from 1 species
CCUACGGGUGGCAGCAGUAGGGAAUAUUGCUCAAUGGGGGAAACCCUGAAGCAGCAACGCCGCGUGGAGGAUGAAGGUUUUCGGAUUGUAAACUCCUUUUGUUAGAGAGGAUAGUGACGAUGUCUAACGAAUAAGCACCGGCUAACUCCGUGCCAGCAGCCGCGGUAAUACGGAGGGUGCAAGCGUUACUCGGAAUUACUGGGCGUAAAGUGCGCGUAGGCGGGAUAGCAAGUCAGAUGUGAAAUCCUAGGGCUUAACCAGAGAACUGCAUUUGAAACUGUUAUUCUAGAGUAUGGGAGAGGUAGGUAGAAUUCCUGGUGUAGGGGUAAAAUCCGUAGAGAUCAAGAGGAAUACUCAUGGCGAAGGCGACCUGCUAGAACAUAACUGACGCUGAUGCGCGAAAGCGUGGGGAGCAAACAGGAUUAGAUACCCUAGUAGUC